rnacentral:lncRNA from 1 species
AAGAUUUUUGGCAAUGUUUCAAUUAUUGCACUGUAUGUUGUUAACACAUGAAUUACUCACACAUGAACAUAACGUGUCUGAUUCAUUGUGUUUUCUCUUUCUGUCUUCAGUCUGUGUGGAUGCAGUAUUACAGAGAAACAGUGUCUCAUCCUGACUUCAGCUCUGAAAUCAAACCCAUCACACCUGAGAGAACUGAACCUGAGCGGGAAUCAAAUAAAAAACACAGGAAUGAAUCACUUAUGUGACGUACUGAAGGAUUCACGCUGUAAACUGGAGAGAUUGAGUCUUCGUUACUGUGGCAUUACAGAUGUUUCUUCUUUAACUCAGUCUUUGACAAACACAAAAGCUCUGCAGUUUCUAAAAGAGAUUAAUCUGAGUGUUAAUACGAUUGGAGACUCAGAGCAGAAGCUCAUUGAUGUGCUACGAGACUCAAACUGUAAACUGAGGUGAGUAAACUUCACUUUGUGAUAUUAAAGAGAUUCAUUUACCUCUGAUAUCUGAACAAAUAUAUGCUUUCAGAUAUUAGUGAAAAGAGUUGAUCAAAUGAACAUCAAGCUUUAUUUCAAAGGGUUUGUGUCAGAAUGAAAUGUAAAGUUGAUAAAAAUGUUGAACACAAAGGAGGAAAGAGAAGAAAAGCAGACUGUCACAGCUUUCUACAGCAACAGCUGCUUUAUUAAUGAGAUCAGUAAUAGUGAAUCAUUCGAGUUUGAAAUAGAUUUGUUCAGAUUGUAGGAAAACGCUGGUAAAAUCAGAGCAGAUUCAGCUUCAGCUCACAGUCGUCCAGCAUCACAUGAUCAAUGUCUCUGUCUCUUGUGUGUUUUUACUUUGACAAGCAACACGUCACAUUACUUUACACUUACUUUCUGUAAGAGAUAAUGUCCCUCCAGCCGCUUGUUAUCACAGAAUAAACCCGACAGGGUGAUCAGGACUUGUGUCCUCCUGAAGAGACUUAUUCUGUGAUAACAUCCGGCUGCAUCUGCAUUAUCACACUUAUUAUAUGCUUUCUUGACACACAAGUGAAGAAUUAGACACAAUUUAGAUUCAGCUAAACACUUCUGGUCAGUUAGCAACAACUUGAACAACAAGACACACUUUGAACAAUGUCUCCUCAAGUCUACUAUUAACAGGAAUCUCCUGUGGUUUGGUUUGAGGGUAAAUCCAGUCAGUAACUGAGGCACAAGCUAAUAGCAGUUGUGUUUGAAUGAAACGAGUGAGAGCGCGGUGCUGUGAUACGAGAGAAGUCAAAGAAACGCCCGACUCAAAUACCGUAUGACUGUGUGUUAUUCUGCUGCUAAUGACACACACCUAAUGAAUAACACACCUCCGAAUGUCACCACUGACCAAUCAGAAUCCAGUAUUCCAGCGAGCUGUGCAAUCAUUUCACUUAUUUACUGAGACCAACACAAACAUGUUUAAACUAGAGACAAACAGCUUUAACUAGUGACACAUUUAACUGAAAGAUUUGUGUUUUAAGACUAAAUCACAUUUGUGUUUGUUCCUUGUCAUUUAUUAAAACGUGACUGAAGUAUAGUAACAACUUGUUAAUUUUUUUCCCUGAUUAUCUUAUAUUUGUUUCACUGAACUCUGAUUAUCUUCUCUUCGGUUCUAUCACCAAAAGUCCCAACAAUCACAAGAAAAACCUCGUUGAGUUCAAUCACGAAAAGCUGCUAAAUGCUGUGUAUCAUAAAGUGAAGUGAUCUUGGGAGAAGCAGUAAACAUCAGCUGAAGAUCCACAGAAGAGCUUCACUACACUGUGUCUAUGAGGAGAAAUAAAUGUGUGAUAAAUGUGUAAAUGUGAUCCAUACAGGUGAAGAGACUCAGACUUUACAAUCAAAUAAUGCAGCAUGUGUGUUAGAAACAUGAUAUUGAAUGAUUAAUGUUGCUUUAGUAUUCAAGCAGAUGAUCAUUGUGUUUAAUGUAAAGCUGGAACAGAGGAGGAAGAAGCUCAGAUGAGUCUGUCUGGCUCUUCAGUUUAAUAAUAUUUCUAUUAAACUCACUCAUAAUGAUUCAAAUGUUUAAAUGUGAUUGUCAAGUGCAGCACUUAAAUGUGUCAAAAGAUAGAAAGCAAAUCUACAAUGUGUGAAACUUAUCUCAUGUUUUCUACACAUUAUUAUUAUUAUUAUUAUUCUAUUUUACUUUAUAUUUAGUUGUGUGUCUGUUGUUAAUGUACAUAUAUCCAGUAUAUAGUCUUUGUUCUGUGGAUGGAGUCUCUCCUUCAUCAAAUCAACUAAACAUUUUCACAAGUUAACAGCAUUUGUGUCUUUCACUCUCCUCUAAAUACUCCUCAAAACACAUUUAGUCUUUUUAACACUUUUAUAUUUUCAUGUGAAUAAAAUGACACAUACAGUUAAAAGCAACUACUUUGUUUGAAAAGUUUACUUGUCUGUUUUAAGUAUUAUUGAAGCGACAUAAGCAGUUUCUCUAACUUUAAUGUAGGCUAACUUGUAGACAUAAAGCAUAAAUAGCUAAUGUAUAAUAUCAGAAAUGUUUCCAUUAUACGUACAGCAGGUAAAAUAAGUCAGCAUUUUUCUCAGUUAAUAUAUUUCUGAAGGUGCUGUUGACAUGAAAUUUUCACCAUGUCUGAAACAAUCCAAGUAAUACAUUCAUACAAAUUAAAUAAGUUCAGAAAUUAAGUUCUGUGUAAUAAAGUAGAAUGCCAAUCACCAAAUGUACAGUAGAAAGAGAAAAACGUUCAGAAAUGAUUUAGGAAAUAAAAAAACCAACAGCUUUUAUGAAUUCAGUGUGUUUAUACAUAUGCAAUAGUAAAUCUAAGCAACUUCAAAUUGCAAUGUUUUUAAUGUAAAGCGUAUUAUUGAGUUAUGAUUUCUAAUGCAUACAGGUGAAACAUAUUAAAUAAUGCAGCAUUAAUAUAAACACGUACACAUGGGAGAUAUUGAAGAACAUUUCAGUCAUAGCACAGAAUCAGCUCUUUUGAGGGUUUCUAAUGAUACUUUACAUGGUUUGAGCUUAGGUUUGAUUGGCAAAUGAAUGCUGUUGUAAAGUUGAUCAUCUCUUUUGAGGACAUGGAGAAAGUUGUGCAUGUUUUGUGUUAUUGUGUUUGGAUUAUUGUAAUGGAUUAUAUAAUAAGAGAGAGCACAUUACUUCUGUGCUUAUCAUCUCACACUGGCUAUCUGUACAACACAGAAUUUAUUACAAAGUGCUGCGAUAUGUUUUCAAAGAGUAGUUGUUUGUAGUAGUUAUGUUUUGGUAUAGAUAAGGGUUAAGGGAUGUAGAAUAUGGCCAUGCAGAAUAAAACAUUAAUAUGUGCUUUAUACAGUAAGUACUAAUAAACGGUAAAUAAUCUAGUAAUAUGCAUGCUAAUAAUCAACUAGUGAAUAGAGGCAUACUACAAAGGUAAUAAUGUAAGUUUGCUCUUAAAAUUUACAAGAUGGUGCCAGGACGUUUGUCGGCUUGAGAAGAAUUACUUUGGAUGACAGACAAAUCAGUGUUUUAAAUAAAUGAAUUUUAAUUUAACAUCCAUUAAAUCCAACAUUGACCAAAUAUUUCUAUUUAUCCAGUCCUCAUAAAACAGGGAUUUGUUUCUGUGUAGAAUGUGUUUGUUAUUAUAUAAUUAUGUUAUAUAGGCGUUAAUUCUAUUAUUAUGUUAUAUAGAUGUUAAUUGUAUUAUUAUCUUAUGUAGGAGUAUCUUGGGUGUAAAACUGUGGAAGUUUGGGUAAAUCAAAGUCAUAUUUGAGAAGGAAGCAGAUCCCAAAACAAAACUGAACACUGCAUACCAAAAGAUCUCAGCACUACCCAAAAUAUCUGAAGCCACUUAGGUUUUAACAAAGUUUCAUACUCUCAAAUUAAAAUUACAUUCAGACCAGCUUCUU